AGAGUUUGAUCAUGGCUCAGGACGAACGCUGGCGGCGUGCCUAAUACAUGCAAGUCGAGCGGACAGAUGGGAGCUUGCUCCCUGAUGUUAGCGGCGGACGGGUGAGUAACACGUGGGUAACCUGCCUGUAAGACUGGGAUAACUCCGGGAAACCGGGGCUAAUACCGGAUGGUUGUUUGAACCGCAUGGUUCAAACAUAAAAGGUGGCUUCGGCUACCACUUACAGAUGGACCCGCGGCGCAUUAGCUAGUUGGUGAGGUAACGGCUCACCAAGGCAACGAUGCGUAGCCGACCUGAGAGGGUGAUCGGCCACACUGGGACUGAGACACGGCCCAGACUCCUACGGGAGGCAGCAGUAGGGAAUCUUCCGCAAUGGACGAAAGUCUGACGGAGCAACGCCGCGUGAGUGAUGAAGGUUUUCGGAUCGUAAAACUCUGUUGUUAGGGAAGAACAAGUACCGUUCGAAUAGGGCGGUACCUUGACGGUACCUAACCAGAAAGCCACGGCUAACUACGUGCCAGCAGCCGCGGUAAUACGUAGGUGGCAAGCGUUGUCCGGAAUUAUUGGGCGUAAAGGGCUCGCAGGCGGUUUCUUAAGUCUGAUGUGAAAGCCCCCGGCUCAACCGGGGAGGGUCAUUGGAAACUGGGGAACUUGAGUGCAGAAGAGGAGAGUGGAAUUCCACGUGUAGCGGUGAAAUGCGUAGAGAUGUGGAGGAACACCAGUGGCGAAGGCGACUCUCUGGUCUGUAACUGACGCUGAGGAGCGAAAGCGUGGGGAGCGAACAGGAUUAGAUACCCUGGUAGUCCACGCCGUAAACGAUGAGUGCUAAGUGUUAGGGGGUUUCCGCCCCUUAGUGCUGCAGCUAACGCAUUAAGCACUCCGCCUGGGGAGUACGGUCGCAAGACUGAAACUCAAAGGAAUUGACGGGGGCCCGCACAAGCGGUGGGGCAUGUGGUUUAAUUCGAAGCAACGCGAAGAACCUUACCAGGUCUUGACAUCCUCUGACAAUUCUAGAGAUAGGACGUCCCCUUCGGGGGCAGAGUGACAGGUGGUGCAUGGUUGUCGUCAGCUCGUGUCGUGAGAUGUUGGGUUAAGUCCCGCAACGAGCGCAACCCUUGAUCUUAGUUGCCAGCAUUCAGUUGGGCACUCUAAGGUGACUGCCGGUGACAAACCGGAGGAAGGUGGGGAUGACGUCAAAUCAUCAUGCCCCUUAUGACCUGGGCUACACACGUGCUACAAUGGACAGAACAAAGGGCAGCGAAACCGCGAGGUUAAGCCAAUCCCACAAAUCUGUUCUCAGUUCGGAUCGCAGUCUGCAACUCGACUGCGUGAAGCUGGAAUCGCUAGUAAUCGCGGAUCAGCAUGCCGCGGUGAAUACGUUCCCGGGCCUUGUACACACCGCCCGUCACACCACGAGAGUUUGUAACACCCGAAGUCGGUGAGGUAACCUUUUAGGAGCCAGCCGCCGAAGGUGGGACAGAUGAUUGGGGUGAAGUCGUAACAAGGUAGCCGUAUCGGAAGGUGCGGCUGGAUCACCUCCUU
rnacentral:rRNA from 1 species